rnacentral:rRNA from 1 species
UACAGAGGGUGCAAACGUUGCUCGGAAUUAUUGGGCGUAAAGCGCACGUAGGCGGCUUGUUAAGUCGGAUGUGAAAGCCCCGGGCUCAACCCGGGAAGUGCAUACGAAACUGGCGAGCUUGAGUAUGGAAGAGGGUCGCGGAAUUCCCGGUGUAGAGGUGAAAUUCGUAGAUAUCGGGAGGAACACCUGUGGCGAAAGCGGCGCACUGGACCACAACUGACGCUGAGGCGCGAAAGCUAGGGGAGCAAACAGG